UGGGGAAUAUUGGACAAUGGGCGCAAGCCUGAUCCAGCAAUGCCGCGUGUGUGAAGAAGGCCUUCGGGUUGUAAAGCACUUUUNUCAGGAGCGAAACGCUGUCGGCUAAUACCCGGCGGAACUGACGGUACCUGAGGAAUAAGCACCGGCUAACUUCGUGCCAGCAGCCGCGGUAAUACGAAGGGGUGCAAGCGUUAAUCGGAAUUACUGGGCGUAAAGCGUGCGUAGGCGGUUUCUUAGUCUGCUGUGAAAUCCCCGGGCUCAACCUGGGAAUGGCAGUGGAUACUGGGAGGCUAGANUGUGUCAGAGGGUGGUGGAAUUCCCGGUGUAGCGGUGAAAUGCGUAGAGAUCGGG
rnacentral:rRNA from 1 species